UGGGGAAUCUUCCGCAAUGGACGAAAGUCUGACGGAGCAACGCCGCGUGAGUGAUGACGGUCUUCGGAUUGUAAAGCUCUGUUAAUCGGGACGAAUGGUUUGUGUGCAAAUAGUGCAUAGACAUGACGGUACCGGAAUAGAAAGCCACGGCUAACUACGUGCCAGCAGCCGCGGUAAUACGUAGGUGGCAAGCGUUGUCCGGAAUUAUUGGGCGUAAAGCGCGCGCAGGCGGACUAGCCAGUCAGUCUUAAAAGUUCGGGGCUUAACCCCGUGAUGGGAUUGAAACUACUAGUCUAGAGUAUCGGAGAGGAAAGUGGAAUUCCUAGUGUAGCGGUGAAAUGCGUAGAUAUUAGGAAGAACACCAGUGGCGAAGGCGACUUUCUGGACGAACACUGACGCUGAGGAACGAAAGCGUGGGUAGCAAACAGG
rnacentral:rRNA from 1 species